CAGUUUCAGGUCUCAUCGUUCCUUCCAGCUCUAGGAUCCUCCCCUUCAGAGCAAAACAUUAAUAAAAUGCUGCCGCAUUCUCCUCUUGUAUCUCUUCAAAUGGUCGCAUCAGUAGCCGAGCCUAGCGAGGACGAAAGCCAGGAGAAUCACAAGGUGUUGCCCUCGAGCGAAGGAAGCAUGGGGUGGAAGCUACCUGGACUCGGACUUAGCUUUCUAAGGAGUUCAUCUAAUGUAUAGAUGACAUUUCUGGCAUGAGUUGUAUAACUCUUUCACUUAUAGUUAUGUGUGGCCUUGUGUAAAUAGGUAUACUUGCGUAGUGGUCUUGAUUAUACCAUGGUAGAAGAGAUAAUCAUUUUUUGCCAAGGGAAAAUGAUAAACUCAUGCCGUUCCAUUUACACAUGUAAUCAACUUGUCGACCUCCAAGUUUGGAUGUU